rnacentral:rRNA from 1 species
CGCGCAGGUGGUUUCUUAAGUCUGAUGUGAAAGCCCACGGCUCAACCGUGGAGGGUCAUUGGAAACUGGGAGACUUGAGUGCAGAAGAGGAUAGUGGAAUUCCAAGUGUAGCGGUGAAAUGCGUAGAGAUUUGGAGGAACACCAGUGGCGAAGGCGACUGUCUGGUCUGUAACUGACACUGAGGCUCGAAAGCGUGGGAGCAAACA